rnacentral:rRNA from 2 species
GAUGAACGCUGGCGGCGUGCCUAAUACAUGCAAGUCGAACGAGUUCUCGUUGAUGAUCGGUGCUUGCACCGAGAUUCAACAUGGAACGAGUGGCGGACGGGUGAGUAACACGUGGGUAACCUGCCCUUAAGUGGGGGAUAACAUUUGGAAACAGAUGCUAAUACCGCAUAGAUCCAAGAACCGCAUGGUUCUUGGCUGAAAGAUGGCGUAAGCUAUCGCUUUUGGAUGGACCCGCGGCGUAUUAGCUAGUUGGUGAGGUAAUGGCUCACCAAGGCGAUGAUACGUAGCCGAACUGAGAGGUUGAUCGGCCACAUUGGGACUGAGACACGGCCCAAACUCCUACGGGAGGCAGCAGUAGGGAAUCUUCCACAAUGGACGCAAGUCUGAUGGAGCAACGCCGCGUGAGUGAAGAAGGCUUUCGGGUCGUAAAACUCUGUUGUUGGAGAAGAAUGGUCGGCAGAGUAACUGUUGCCGGCGUGACGGUAUCCAACCAGAAAGCCACGGCUAACUACGUGCCAGCAGCCGCGGUAAUACGUAGGUGGCAAGCGUUAUCCGGAUUUAUUGGGCGUAAAGCGAGCGCAGGCGGUUUUUUAAGUCUGAUGUGAAAGCCCUCGGCUUAACCGAGGAAGCGCAUCGGAAACUGGGAAACUUGAGUGCAGAAGA